CGUCGUUGAGCAACAAGAUUACCGAAAUUAAUGACUUCGUGCGAUAAAAUGCUAGCGAGGUUAGACUCCAUCUAUUGUAUCGAACAAUCGACGGCAUUUCGAUUGAAAUGCACCUGUGUUACUCGUCACGUGAUCGGAGUGACUAAACAAUUACGAACCAUCUUAAAUUUAAAUUUCGAUUAAUAUAAAUAUGUCUGGUCUUUAUUUCACUGUUGGUAUUAUAGUUCGGUAAGUUUAUUACGAAGCUGUGAAUACCGUAUUGCAAAUAUAAGUGACCGCUGCCCCUUUAGCGUGUCUGCGUAAAUGGCAUGUUUAAUCACGUCACUGUAAUUUAAAAACACGUAAAUAGAGAACGUAAUAGAGCAAAAAGCAUUAAAUAUUUAAUGCAAGAGUUCAAAACAUAUUAUCAUAUAGAAAAAUCUAUUUUAAAAAAUUACUGAUCAUAUUCGAAAUUAUUGGUAUAAAAAAAUUUUUAUUAACAUUUUGCAACAUUUAGAAUAUAAACACAAGUUUUUCAUACAGUAAUUAAUUUUCCACGCAGGGUUUGAAAGAACUGUUGCUAUAUUUAACAUAGAUGAAGUCCUUGAUAUUUAAGAAGGUUUCACUUCCGGAAAUCGCACGUGUAUCACGUGAUUAUUCGGUAUCGUUUGAUUUUAAAUAUUCAAAAAUAAAUAAGACAAAAUGUUUUAGGCAAAGAAGAACCAAACGGAUUUGAAAUUCGUAGGAGAGUUUACGAAGCUGCACCCGUACAAUCACUUGUGAUACAAAUCUUCUGUUGACUAAUACACAUAUUUAAUGGUUCUUUGAAUUUGUUACCAAUUACCUUUUACCUUUAACGACCUCCUACUAUUGACAAUGCAAAGACCGGAUCUAGAAGCUCAUUUCAAAUUCCAAGGACACAAUCAUUUGAAACAAUAUGGUAAAAUUACAAUUGAACAAGUUGUGUCUAUUCAACAAGUUUUAACAAAUCCGUGCACGUAAAACUGGUAUCAGAACACUGAUAAGAGGAUUUAACUAAGUGAAAACAACAGUGUCUUGUAAAAAGGUCUACUACUUUUCCACUACUGAAUUAGUAUUAAUUCCACGUCGGUUUAAUCACAUACUUGAUAAUGCCACCAGGGAACAGAAGGACAAUGCUCAAUAGUAUUCAUUGUCCUAUUUAAUACAUUCGCAAUAUGCAAAAUAACGCGAGAUCUAACAAGCACACUGCGCUUUUUCAUUACUACAGCAAUUAAUAGCUAAGAAUUACCUUAUCUAAUCCCAUCGAUUCAUCACCCUGUGUUCAGGAAGUCUUCGAUUAUAGGUCGUUGGACUUGCAGAUUCAAACACGGAGAAAAUCAAUAAGAAUUAUCAUCUGAAAUAACUGUUCAAUUCCAUAAUUAUCCAAACAAUCAAUUUGGUUUUUUUAUAGAAAAAUAUAUUAAA